rnacentral:misc_RNA from 1 species
GAUGAAGAACGUAGCGAAAUGCGAUACUUGGUGUGAAUUGCAGAAUCCCGUGAACCAUCGAGUCUUUGAACGCAAGUUGCGCCCGAAGCCAUUAGGCCGAGGGCACGCCUGCCUGGGCGUCACACGUCGUUGCCCCCCCAUCUACUCCUUCGGGAUUGCGGGGGGCGGAUGAUGGCCUCUCGUGCGCCUCGUCGCGCGGUUGGCCUAAAAGCCAAGUCCUCGGCGACGCACGCCACGACAAUCGGUGGUUGCGAAACCUCGGUUGCCCGUCGUGUGCGGUCGUCGCGCAUCGAGGGCUCGAAAAAAUUGCCGGGCUCCGGCUCGGCUUUCAACGCGACCCCAGGUCAGGCGGGGUUACCCGCUGAAUUUAAGCAUAUCAAUAAGCGGAGGA